UUAGAAAUUUGUAUUUCUAAAAGGCUCAGUCACCUUCCCAUCCAAGCCCAUUCCCAUUUUAAUUUUGCCCACUGAACAUCUCUAAUUUUCGGGAAUCGACUGCUUGGAUACCAGCGAUCGAUAGGCCAUCUUCCCCCCAUCCACUGCCUUUUCCGUGAUUUGGUUUAGCUACGACUGAUUUGACUAUACAGUCUACUAUAUCCCGAUACCAGAAUGUGCUGCUCUCCUUGCUAUUCGUGUAACUAUUCCUGCACCUCCCCCUGCAAUGGCUGCUGCAGUGGCUGCUGCGGCUGCAACGGCUGCUGUGGCGGAGGUUGUUGCUCCGCUGCGGCCUGCUGCUAUCCCAGCUGCUGUGGCGGUUCCUGUGGACCCUGCUGCUA